ACGAACGCUGGCGGCGUGCUUAACACAUGCAAGUCGAACGGUGAAGCGCCUUCCUUUUUGGUGGGUGUGGAUGAGUGGCGAACGGGUGAGUAACACGUGAGUAACCUGCCCCCUUCUUCUGGAUAACCGCAUGAAAGUGUGGCUAAUACGGGAUAUUCUGGGUCUGUCGCAUGAUGGGUCUGGGAAAGAUAUUGUUUCGGUGGGCGAUGGGCUCGCGGCCUAUCAGCUUGUUGGUGGGGUGAUGGCCUACUCAGGCGGUGACGGGUAGCGGGGAUGAGGGGGUGGGGGGCACGAGUGGGACUGGGAUGCGGCCGGGACUGCGGCGGGAGGAGGCAGUGGGGUAUAUGGCAUGAGGGGCGGAAGCCUGAUGCAGGAACGCCGGGGGCGGGAGGAGGGUCUUCGGUUUGUAAAGCGCUUUCGCCUGUGACGAAGCGUGAGUGAGGGUAAUGGGUAAAGAAGCACGGGCUAAGUACGUG
rnacentral:rRNA from 1 species